rnacentral:rRNA from 1 species
UACGGAGGGUGCAAGUGUUAUCCGGAUUCACUGGGUUUAAAGGGUGCGUAGGUGGACAGGUAAGUCAGUGGUGAAAUCCCCGAGCUUAACUCGGGAACUGCCGUUGAUACUAUCUGUCUUGAAUAUCGCGGAGGUAAGCGGAAUAUGUCAUGUAGCGGUGAAAUGCUUAGAUAUGACAUAGAACACCGAUUGCGAAGGCAGCUUACUACACGAUCAUUGACACUGAGGCACGAAAGCGUGGGGAGCAAACAGG